rnacentral:rRNA from 1 species
GACGAACGCUGGCGGCGUGCUUAACACAUGCAAGUCGAACGGAAAGGCCCUGCUUUCAGGGUGCUCGAGUGUCGAACGGGGGAGUAACACGUGGGUGAUCUGCCCUGCACUUCGGGAUAAGCCUGGGGAACUGGGUCUAAUACCGGGGAGGGGCCAUUUUGAGUGUGAUGGUUGGAAAGUUUUUUCGGUGUAGGAUGAGCUCGCGGCCUUUCAGCUUGUUGGUGGGGUAAUGGGCUACCAAGGCGGCGAAGGGUAGCCGGCCUGAGAGGGUGGACGGCCAACUUUGGACUGGGAUUAGGGCCCGACCUCCUAGGGAGGCCGACGGGGGGAAAUUUGCAACAUGGGCGCGAGGCCGAUGGCGCGACGCCGCGGGGGGGAUGACGGGCUUCGGGUUGGAAAACCGCUUCGGCAGGGACGAAGCUUUUUGUGACGGUACCUAGAAAAGAAGCACCGGCUAACUACGUG